UACGUAGGGGGCUAGCGUUGUCCGGAAUCAUUGGGCGUAAAGCGCGCGUAGGCGGCCCGGUAAGUCCGCUGUGAAAGUCAAAGGCUCAACCUUUUGAAAGCCGGUGGAUACUGCAGGACUAGAGUACGGAAGAGGCGAGUGGAAUUCCUGGUGUAGCGGUGGAAUGCGCAGAUAUCAGGAGGAACACCAAUAGCGAAGGCAGCUCGCUGGGGACGUAACUGACACUGGAGGCGC
rnacentral:rRNA from 1 species